rnacentral:rRNA from 1 species
CGGGUGAGUAACGCGUAGGAAUCUACCUGGUAGUGGGGGAUAGCUCGGGGAAACUCGAAUUAAUACCGCAUACGACCUAAGGGUGAAAGUGGGGGAUCUUCGGACCUCACGCUAUCAGAGGAGCCUGCGUUGGAUUAGCUAGUUGGUGGGGUAAAGGCCCACCAAGGCGACGAUCCAUAGCUGGUCUGAGAGGAUGAUCAGCCACACUGGAACUGAGACACGGUCCAGACUCC